AAGUCGGACGGACACCUUCGGGUGUCAGUGGCGGACGGGUGAGUAACGCGUAGGAAUCUACCCCUAGGAGGGGGAUAACAGCUGGAAACGGCUGCUAAUACCCCAUACAGGCGCGAGCUGAAAGGAGCAAUCCGCCUAGGGAUGAGCCUGCGUCGGAUUAGCUAGUUGGUGGGGUAAUGGCCUACCAAGGCGACGAUCCGUAGCGGGUCUGAGAGGAUGGCCCGCCACACUGGGACUGAGACACGGCCCAGACUCCUACGGGAGGCAGCAGUGGGGAAUUUUCCGCAAUGGGCGAAAGCCUGACGGAGCAAUACCGCGUGAGGGAGGAAGGCCUUCGGGUUGUAAACCUCUUUUCUGGGGGACGAA
rnacentral:rRNA from 1 species